rnacentral:rRNA from 1 species
UACAGAGGUCUCAAGCGUUGUUCGGAUUCAUUGGGCGUAAAGGGUGCGUAGGCGGCGGGGCAAGUCUGAUGUGAAAUCCCGGGGCUCAACCCCGGAACUGCAUUGGAUACUGCUCUGCUUGAGCACUGGAGAGGAGACUGGAAUUUACGGUGUAGCAGUGAAAUGCGUAGAUAUCGUAAGGAAGACCAGUGGCGAAGGCGGUUCUCUGGGCAUGAUCUGACGCUGAGGAGCGAAAGUGUGGGGAGCGAACAGG